rnacentral:rRNA from 1 species
UGCAGUCGUACGAGAGUUUUUAACUCAAGUGGCGGACGGGUGAGUAACACGUAAGAAUUUGCCUUUAGGAGGGGGAUAACAACUGGAAACGGUUGCUAAUACCCCAUAUGCUUUCGAGUGAAAUGGAUUUUUCCGCCUAGAGAGAAGCUUGCGGCUGAUUAGCUUGUUGGUGAGGUAAUGGCUCGCCAAGGCGACGAUCAGUAUCUGGUUUGAGAGGAUGAUCAGACACACUGGAACUGAGACACGGUCCAGACUCCUACGGGAGGCAGCAGUGGGGAAUUUUCCGCAAUGGGCGAAAGCCUGACGGAGCAAUACCGCGUGAGGGAUGACGGCCUAUGGGUUGUAAACCUCUUUUUUCAGGGAGGAAUCAAUGACGUGUACCUGAAGAAUAAGCAUCGGCUAACUCCGUGCCAGCAGCCGCGGUAAUACGAAGGGGGCGAGCGUUGUUCGGAAUUAUUGGGCGUAAAGCGUCCGCAGGCGGCUUUUCAAGUCUGCUGUUAAAGCGUGGAGCUUAACUCCAUCAUGGCAGUGGAAACUGAAAGGCUUGAGUAUGGUAGGGGCAGAGGGAAUUCCCGGUGUAGCGGUGAAAUGCGUAGAUAUCGGGAAGAACACCAGUGGCGAANGCGCUCUGCUGGGCCAUUACUGACGCUCAUGGACGAAAGCCANGGGAGCGAAAGGGAUUAGAUACCCCUGUAGUCCUGGCCGUAAACGAUGAACACUAGGUGUCGGGGGAAUCGACCCCUUCGGUGUCGUANCUAACGCGUUAAGUGNUCCGCCUGGGGAGUACNCACGCNAGCGUGAAACUCNNGGAAUUGANNGGGCNCNCACNAGCGG